GUCCCUGUGGCGCAGUGGAUAGCGCGUUGGACUUCUAAUCCAAAAGUCCCGGGUUCGAGCCCCGGCAGGGAUG
rnacentral:tRNA from 1 species